GGCUGUGUAGCUCAGUGGUAGAGCAACAAGAUGAACGAAAGUUCUAGAAUACUUGUGUGUCGGUAGUUCAAUCCUAUCCGCAGCCA
rnacentral:tRNA from 1 species